GAUGAAGAACGUAGCAAAAUGCGAUAAGUAAUGUGAAUUGCAGAAUUCAGUGAAUCAUCGAAUCUUUGAACGCACAUUGCGCCCGCUGGUAUUCCGGCGGGCAUGCCUGUUCGAGCGUCAUUUGAACCCUCAAGCCCCCGGGUUUGGUGUUGGGGAUCGGCUCUGCCCUUCUGGGCGGUGCCGCCCCCGAAAUACAUUGGCGGUCUCGCUGCAGCCUCCAUUGCGUAGUAGCUAACACCUCGCAACUGGAACGCGGCGCGGCCAUGCCGUAAAACCCCAACUUCUGAAUGUUGACCUCGGAUCAGGUAGGAAUACCCGCUGAACUUAAGCAUAUAAUAAGCGGAGGA
rnacentral:misc_RNA from 1 species